rnacentral:lncRNA from 1 species
GGUGAGCGACGGUGGGUUCUGGUGUCGAAAUUGACGCUUCCGGGAACCCGGAUCGGAACAGUUAUCCGACGAUAAUUGUUUCGAUGUGAGGUUACGUAUUUGCUGCUAGGACACCUUAUUUAUGAUGUUGUGUGGUAGUGGGUGACUCGUGGCGUGAGUUGGUGAGUCCCUGGACACUUCGUGGGUCCUGGCGGAGUUCCAGUGCGAUUUUCGGGACUGCCGGUGAGUUACGGUAAUCGGUUUUGGGAAACCGAUUCCCGUGGGUUUAAUUGUGGGAUUGUGAGCAUAGUAUUUUACACAUGGG